GACGAACGCUGGCGGCGUGCUUAAUACAUGCAAGUCGAGCGGUGAACCCGACUGAAAGCCUUCGGGCUUGACGUUGGGGGAUCAGCGGCGGAUGGGUGAGUAACGCGUGGGUACCUGCCCUAAAGUCUGGGAUAACAACUCGAAAGGGUUGCUAAUACCGGAUGUGACCGAGAGGUUAAAGGCAGAGAUGUCGCUUUAGGAUGGGCCCGCGUCCCAUUAGCUAGUUGGUGAGGUAAGGGCUCACCAAGGCUGCGAUGGGUAGCCGGCCUGAGAGGGUGGACGGCCACACUGGGACUGAGACACGGCCCAGACUCCUACGGGAGGCAGCAGUAGGGAAUUUUCCGCAAUGGACGGAAGUCUGACGGAGCGACGCCGCGUGGGGGAAGAAGGCCUUCGGGUUGUAAACCUCUGUCUUCAGGGACGAAGAGGGUGUGGGAGACACACCGAAGCCGGUACCUGAGGAGGAAGCCCCGGCUAACUACGUA
rnacentral:rRNA from 1 species